CGGCAGCACAGAAGAGCUUGCUCUUUGGGUGGCGAGUGGCGGACGGGUGAGUAAUGUCUGGGAAACUGCCCGAUGGAGGGGGAUAACUACUGGAAACGGUAGCUAAUACCGCAUAACGUCGCAAGACCAAAGUGGGGGACCUUCGGGCCUCACACCAUCGGAUGUGCCCAGAUGGGAUUAGCUAGUAGGUGGGGUAAUGGCUCACCUAGGCGACGAUCCCUAGCUGGUCUGAGAGGAUGACCAGCCACACUGGAACUGAGACACGGUCCAGACUCCUACGGGAGGCAGCAGUGGGGAAUAUUGCACAAUGGGCGCAAGCCUGAUGCAGCCAUGCCGCGUGUAUGANGAAGGCCUUCGGGUUGUAAAGUACUUUCAGCGGGGAGGAAGGCGGUGAGGUUAAUAACCUUGCCGAUUGACGUUACCCGCAGAAGAAGCACCGGCUAACUCCGUGCCAGCAGCCGCGGUAAUACGGAGGGUGCAAGCGUUAAUCGGAAUUACUGGGCGUANAGCGCACGCAGGCGGUCUGUUAAGUCAGAUGUGAAAUCCCCGGGCUUANCCUGGGAACUGCAUUUGAAACUGGCAGGCUUGAGUCUCGUAGAGGGGGGUAGAAUUCCNGGUGUAGCGGUGAAAUGCGUA
rnacentral:rRNA from 1 species